rnacentral:rRNA from 1 species
GAUGAACGCUGGCGGCGUGCCUAAUACAUGCAAGUCGAGCGAACAGACGAGGAGCUUGCUCCUCUGAUGUUAGCGGCGGACGGGUGAGUAACACGUGGAUAACCUACCUAUAAGACUAGGAUAACUUCGGGAAACCGGAGCUAAUACCGGAUAACAUGUUGAACCGCAUGGUUCAACAGUGAAAGACGGUCUUGCUGUCACUUAUAGAUGGAUCCGCGCCGCAUUAGCUAGUUGGUAAGGUAACGGCUUACCAAGGCAACGAUGCGUAGCCGACCUGAGAGGGUGAUCGGCCACACUGGAACUGAGACACGGUCCAGACUCCUACGGGAGGCAGCAGUAGGGAAUCUUCCGCAAUGGGCGAAAGCCUGACGGAGCAACGCCGCGUGAGUGAAGAAGGUCUUCGGAUCGUAAAACUCUGUUAUUAGGGAAGAACAAAUGUGUAAGUAACUAUGCACGUCUUGACGGUACCUAAUCAGAAAGCCACGGCUAACUACGUGCCAGCAGCAGCCGCCG